AGGGUUUGAUCAUGGCUCAGGACGAACGCUGGCGGCGUGCUUAACACAUGCAAGUCGAACGAGAAUCUAAUGACGGAGUUUUCGGACAACUGAUUUAGAGGACAGUGGCGGACUGGUGAGUAACGCGUGAGGAACCUGCCUUUCAGAGGGGGACAACAGUUGGAAACGACUGCUAAUACCGCAUGAUGUGUAACUGGGACAUCCCGGAUACACCAAAGAUUUAUCGCUGAAAGAUGGCCUCGCGUCUGAUUAGCUAGUUGGUGAGGUAACGGCCCACCAAGGCGACGAUCAGUAGCCGGACUGAGAGGUUGACCGGCCACAUUGGGACUGAGAUACGGCCCAG
rnacentral:rRNA from 1 species